AUACGUAGGGGGCAAGCGUUAUCCGGAAUUACUGGGUGUAAAGGGAGCGUAGGCGGCAUGAUAAGUUAGAUGUGAAAGCCCGGGGCUUAACCCCGAGGAUUGCAUUUAAAACUAUCAAGCUAGAGUACAGGAGAGGAAAGCGGAAUUCCUAGUGUAGCGGUGAAAUGCGUAGAUAUUAGGAAGAACACCAGUGGCGAAGGCGGCUUUCUGGACUGUAACUGACACUGAGGCAUGAAAGCGUGGGUAGC
rnacentral:rRNA from 1 species